GAGGGUAUAGUUCAGUGGUAGAGCGUGUGUUUAGCAUGCAUGAAGUCCUGGGUUCAAUCCCCAGUACCUCCA
rnacentral:tRNA from 1 species